rnacentral:lncRNA from 1 species
GAGUCCCCGUGAGGAGAUGGUGGCAGGGUAUAAAUAAAGUUAUUAUUUUAUUAUGACACAGCAAACAAGAUAGAUAUGCUGGAUUUCAUAUCACAAAAUCACAAGUCGAACACUUCCCAAGUGUCUAGGACUGUGUGAUGUAUUUUCGGAUGAUGCGCGCAGAUCCCAGCAGGGUGGCCUUUUGCAGUUGGCAGAUUGUGAUUUUGUCAAUGCCUAUUGUUUCCAAAUGCUGGCUGAGAUCUUUUGGCACGGCACCCAAUGUGCCGAUCACCACUGGGACCACCUGCACUGGUUUCUGCCAGAGUCUUUGCAGUUCAAUCUUGAGGUCCUGGUAGCGGCUGAGUUUUUCCUGUUGUUUUUUGUCAAUGCGACUGUCACCUGGGAUGGCAACAUCAAUGAUCCAAACCUUUUUCUUUUCCACAACUGUGAUGUCUGGUGUGUUGUGUUCCAGAACUUUGUCAUUCUGGAACACAACACACCAGACAUCACAGUUGUGGAAAAGAAAAAGGUUUGGAUCAUUGAUGUCGCCAUCCCAGGUGACAGUCGCAUUGACGAAAAACAACAGGAAAAACUCAGCCACUAUCAGGACCUCAAGAUUGAACUUCAAAGACUCUGGCAGAAACCAGUGCAGGUGGUCCCGGUGGUGAUCGGCACAUUGGGUGCUGUGCCAAAAGAUCUCAGCCGGCAUUUGGAAACAAUAGGCAUUGACAAAAUUACGAUCUGACAACUGCAAAAGGCCACCCUACUGGGAUCUGCAUGCAACAUCACACAGUCCUAGACACUUGGGAAGUGUUCGACUUGUGAUUUUGUGAUACGAAAUCCAGCAUAUCUAUCUUGUUUGCUGUGUCAUAAUAAAUAAUAAUAAUAAUAUAAGAAAAUUCCCACCCUAGACAAUCCAUAGAUAGAUAGAUAGAUAGAUAGAUAGAUAGAUAGAUAGAUAGAUGAUAGAUAGAUAGAUAGAUAGAUAGAUAGAUACACUCCACUUGCCUCACAGGCAACAGAACUUCUGAAGAUGCCAGCCACGGAUGCAGGUGAAACGUUAGGAAAGAAUACUGCUGGAAAAUAGCCAUACAGCCCGAAAAACUCAAAACAUUUCGAUUCUUUCCAUCAUAACGUUCUUCCAAACAUUCAAGUGGACUCUCUUUUCCUGGAAUUUGAAUCCAUACACCUUCUUGUAAUAAUAAUAAUAAUCGAUCUGCCAACUGCAAAAGGCCACCCGACUGGGAUCUGCACGCAUCAUCCGAAAAUACAUCACACAGUCCUAGACACUUGGGAAGUGUUUGACUUGUGAUUUUGUGAAACGAAAUCCAGCAUGUCUAUCUUGUUUGCUGUGUCAUAAUAAAAUAAUAAUAAUAACAAUAAUAAUAAUAUACAUCACACAGUCCUAAACGCUUGGGAAGUGUUCGACUUGUGAUUUUGUGAAACGAAAUCCAGCAUGUCUAUCUUGUUUGCUGUGUCAUAAUAAAAUAAUAAUAAUAACAAUAAUAAUAAUAUACAUCACACAGUCCUAAACGCUUGGGAAGUGUUUGACUUGUGAUUUUGUGAAACGAAAUCCAGCAUGUCUAUCUUGUUUGCUGUGUCAUAAUAAAAUAAUAAUAAUAACAAUAAUAAUAAUAUACAUCACACAGUCCUAAACGCUUGGGAAGUGUUCGACUUGUGAUUUUGUGAUACGAAAUCCAGCAUGUCUAUCUUGUUUGCUGUGUCAUAUAAUAAUAAUAAUAAUAAUAAUAAUAAUAAUAAUAAUAAUAAUAAUAAUAAUAAUAAAUCACACAGUCCUAGACACUUGGGAAGUGUUCGACUUGUGAUUUUGUGAAACGAAAUCCAGCAUGUCUAUCUUGUUUGCUGUGUCAUACAAUAAUAAUAAUAAUAAUAAUAAUAAUAAUAAUAAUAAUAAUAAUAAUAAUAAUAACAAUAAUAAACUUCAUUUGUGUGCCGCUCUAUCUCCCUGAGGGGACUCAGGGCAGUUUCCAUCGUAGGUAAAAUAUUCAAUU